rnacentral:misc_RNA from 1 species
GAUGAAGAACGUAGCGAAAUUCGAUACUUGGUGUGAAUUGCAGAAUCCCGUGAACCAUCGAGUCUUUGAACGCAAGUUGCGCCCGAAGCCAUUAGGCCGAGGGCACGCCUGCCUGGGCGUCACACGUCGUUGCCCCCCCAUCUACUCCUUCGGGAUUGCGGGGGGCGGAUGAUGGCCUCCCGUGCGCCUUGUCGCGCGGUUGGCAUAAAUGCCAAGUCCUCGGCGACGCACGCCACGACAAUCGGUGGUUGCGAAACCUCGGUUGCCCGUCGUGUGCGGUCGUCGCGCAUCGAGGGCUCGAAAAAAUUGUCGGGCUCCGGCUCGGCUUUCAACGCGACCCCAGGUCAGGCGGGGUUACCCGCUGAAUUUAAGCAUAUCAAUAAGCGGAGGA